rnacentral:rRNA from 1 species
GUUGUAUGGUUAAGUGACUAAGCGUACACGGUGGAUGCCUUGGCAGUCAGAGGCGAUGAAGGACGUAUUAACUUGCGAUAAGCCCAGAUUAGGUAGUAAAAACCAUUUGAGUCUGGGAUUUCCGAAUGGGGAAACCCACUUGCAUAAGCAAGUAUCGUUAUGUGAAUACAUAGCAUAACG